UACGUAGGGGGCAAGCGUUGUCCGGAUUUAUUGGGCGUAAAGAGCUCGUAGGCGGUUUGGUAAGUCAGGUGUGAAAUCUCCACGCUCAACGUGGAGGGGCCACCUGAUACUGCCAUGACUGGAGUCCGGUAGAGGAGUGUGGAAUUCCCGGUGUAGCGGUGAAAUGCGCAGAUAUCGGGAGGAACACCAAUGGCGAAGGCAGCUCGCUGGGACGUUACUGACGCUGAGACGCGAAAGCGUGGGGAGCAAACAGG
rnacentral:rRNA from 1 species